rnacentral:rRNA from 1 species
UGGGUUAGUGGCGCACGGGUGAGUAACGCGUAUCCAACCUGCCCUUUACUAUGGGACAGCCCGUCGAAAGGCGGAUUAAUACCGUAUGUUGUCAUGUUGAUGCAUAUUUUCAUGACCAAAGGCUUCGGCCGGUAAAGGAUGGGGAUGCGUCUGAUUAGCUUGCCGGCGGGGUAACGGCCCACCGGGGCGACGAUCAGUAGGGGUUCUGAGAGGAAGGUCCCCCACACUGGUACUGAGACACGGACCAGACUCCUACGGAAGGCAGCAG